rnacentral:rRNA from 1 species
UACGAAGGGGGCUAGCGUUGCUCGGAAUCACUGGGCGUAAAGGGUGCGUAGGCGGGUCUUUAAGUCAGGGGUGAAAUCCUGGAGCUCAACUCCAGAACUGCCUUUGAUACUGGAGAGCUUGAGUCCGGGAGAGGUGAGUGGAACUCCGAGUGUAGAGGUGAAAUUCGUAGAUAUUCGGCAAGAACACCAGUGGCGAAGGCGGCUCACUGGCCCGGUACUGACGCUGAGGUGCGAAAGCGUGGGGAGCAAACCGGG